CCGUCGCUACUACCGAUUGAAUGGUUUAGCAAGGUCAUCGGAUUGGGCAACUAUGGCUGCUCGUCAGCCUUGUUUGCACUGAAAAGACGACCGAGCUUGAUCAUUUAGAGGAAGUAAAAGUCGUAACAAGGUUUCCGUAGGUGAACCUUCGGAAGGAUCAU
rnacentral:rRNA from 2 species